GACGAACGCUGGCGGCGUGCUUAACACAUGCAAGUCGAACGGAAAGGCCCUGCUUUUGUGGGGUGCUCGAGUGGCGAACGGGUGAGUAACACGUGAGUAACCUGCCCUUGACUUUGGGAUAACUUCAGGAAACUGGGGCUAAUACCGGAUAGGAGCUCCUGCUGCAUGGUGGGGGUUGGAAAGUUUCGGCGGUUGGGGAUGGACUCGCGGCUUAUCAGCUUGUUGGUGGGGUAGUGGCUUACCAAGGCUUUGACGGGUAGCCGGCCUGAGAGGGUGACCGGCCACAUUGAGACUGAGAUACGGCACAGACUCCUACGGGAGGCAGCAGUGGGGAAUAUUGCACAAUGGGCGGAAGCCUGAUGCAGCAACGCCGCGUGCGGGAUGACGGCCUUCGGGUUGUAAACCGCUUUCGCCUGUGACGAAGCGUGAGUGACGGUAAUGGGUAAAGAAGCACCGGCUAACUACGUG
rnacentral:rRNA from 1 species